AUUGAACGCUGGCGGAAUGCUUUACACAUGCAAGUCGAACGGCAGCACGGACUUCGGUCUGGUGGCGAGUGGCGAACGGGUGAGUAAUGUAUCGGAACGUGCCCAGUCGUGGGGGAUAACGUAGUGAAAAUUACGCUAAUACCGCAUACGAUCUAUGGAUGAAAGCGGGGGAUCGCAAGACCUCGCGCGAUUGGAGCGGCCGAUAUCAGAUUAGGUAGUUGGUGGGGUAAAGGCCCACCAAGCCAACGAUCUGUAGCUGGUCUGAGAGGACGACCGGCCACACUGGAACUGAGACACGGUCCAGACUCCUACGGGAGGCAGCAGUGGGGAAUUUUGGACAAUGGGCGAAAGCCUGAUCCAGCCAUUCCGCGUGCAGGAUGAAGGCCCUCGGGUUGUAAACUGCUUUUGUACAGAACAAAAAGGUUUCUACUAAUACUAGGAGCUCAUGACGGUACUGUAAGAAUAAGCACCGGCUAACUACGUGCCAGCCGCCGCAGUAA
rnacentral:rRNA from 1 species